AAAUUGAAGAGUUUGAUCAUGGCUCAGAUUGAACGCUGGCGGCAGGCCUAACACAUGCAAGUCGAGCGGCAGCGGGAAAGUAGCUUGCUACUUUUGC
rnacentral:rRNA from 1 species